rnacentral:rRNA from 1 species
UUAAGCGACUAAGCGUACACGGUGGAUGCCCUGGCAGUCAGAGGCGAUGAAGGACGUGCUAAUCUGCGAAAAGCGUCGGUAAGGUGAUAUGAACCGUUACAGCCGGCGAUGUCCGAAUGGGGAAACCCAGUGCAAUUCGUUGCACUAUCGUUAACUGAAUACAUAGGUUAACGAGGCGAACCGGGGGAACUGAAACAUCUAAGUACCCCGAGGAAAAGAAAUCAACCGAGAUUCCCCCAGUAGCGGCGAGCGAACGGGGAGCAGCCCAGAGUCUGAAUCAGCUUGUGUGUUAGUGGAACGGUCUGGAAAGUCCGACGGUACAGGGUGAUAGUCCCGUACACCAAAAUGCACAGGUUGUGAACUCGAAGAGUAGGGCGGGACACGUGGUAUCCUGUCUGAAUAUGGGGGGACCAUCCUCCAAGGCUAAAUACUCCUGACUGACCGAUAGUGAACCAGUACCGUGAGGGAAAGGCGAAAAGAACCCCGGCGAGGGGAGUGAAAAAGAACCUGAAACCGUGUACGUACAAGCAGUGGGAGCACCCUUUAGGGUGUGACUGCGUACCUUUUGUAUAAUGGGUCAGCGACUUAUAUUCUGUAGCAAGGUUAACCGUAUAGGGGAGCCGCAGGGAAACCGAGUCUUAACUGGGCGUUAAGUUGCAGGGUAUAGACCCGAAACCCGGUGAUCUAGCCAUGGGCAGGUUGAAGGUUGGGUAACACUAACUGGAGGACCGAACCGACUAAUGUUGAAAAAUUAGCGGAUGACUUGUGGCUGGGGGUGAAAGGCCAAUCAAACCGGGAGAUAGCUGGUUCUCCCCGAAAGCUAUUUAGGUAGCGCCUCGUGAACUCAUCUUCGGGGGUAGAGCACUGUUUCGGCUAGGGGGUCAUCCCGACUUACCAACCCGAUGCAAACUACGAAUACCGAAGAAUGUUAUCACGGGAGACACACGGCGGGUGCUAACGUCCGUCGUGAAGAGGGAAACAACCCAGACCGCCAGCUAAGGUCCCAAAGUCACAGUUAAGUGGGAAACGAUGUGGGAAGGCACAGACAGCCAGGAUGUUGGCUUAGAAGCAGCCAUCAUUUAAAGAAAGCGUAAUAGCUCACUGGUCGAGUCGGCCUGCGCGGAAGAUGUAACGGGGCUAAACUGUGCACCGAAGCUGCGGCAGCGACACUAGGUGUUGUUGGGUAGGGGAGCGUUCUGUAAGCCUGCGAAGGUGGCCUGUGAGGGUUGCUGGAGGUAUCAGAAGUGCGAAUGCUGACAUAAGUAACGAUAAUGCGGGUGAAAAGCCCGCACGCCGGAAGACCAAGGGUUCCUGUCCAACGUUAAUCGGGGCAGGGUGAGUCGACCCCUAAGGCGAGGCCGAAAGGCGUAGUCGAUGGGAAACAGGUUAAUAUUCCUGUACUUGGUGUUACUGCGAAGGGGGGACGGAGAAGGCUAUGUUAGCCGGGCGACGGUUGUCCCGGUUUAAGCAUGUAGGCGGAGGUUCCAGGUAAAUCCGGUACCUUAUUAACGCUGAGGUGUGAUGACGAGGCACUACGGUGCUGAAGUAACAAAUGCCCUGCUUCCAGGAAAAGCCUCUAAGCAUCAGGUAACAUUAAAUCGUACCCCAAACCGACACAGGUGGUCAGGUAGAGAAUACCAAGGCGCUUGAGAGAACUCGGGUGAAGGAACUAGGCAAAAUGGUGCCGUAACUUCGGGAGAAGGCACGCUGAUAUGUAGGUGAAGCCCCUGCGGGUGGAGCUGAAAUCAGUCGAAGAUACCAGCUGGCUGCAACUGUUUAUUAAAAACACAGCACUGUGCAAACACGAAAGUGGACGUAUACGGUGUGACGCCUGCCCGGUGCCGGAAGGUUAAUUGAUGGGGUUAUCCGUAAGGAGAAGCUCUUGAUCGAAGCCCCGGUAAACGGCGGCCGUAACUAUAACGGUCCUAAGGUAGCGAAAUUCCUUGUCGGGUAAGUUCCGACCUGCACGAAUGGCGUAAUGAUGGCCAGGCUGUCUCCACCCGAGACUCAGUGAAAUUGAACUCGCUGUGAAGAUGCAGUGUACCCGCGGCAAGACGGAAAGACCCCGUGAACCUUUACUAUAGCUUGACACUGAACAUUGAGCCUUGAUGUGUAGGAUAGGUGGGAGGCUUUGAAGCGUGGACGCCAGUCUGCGUGGAGCCAACCUUGAAAUACCACCCUUUAAUGUUUGAUGUUCUAACGUUGGCCCCUGACCGGGGUUGCGGACAGUGUCUGGUGGGUAGUUUGACUGGGGCGGUCUCCUCCCAAAGAGUAACGGAGGAGCACGAAGGUUAGCUAAUCCUGGUCGGACAUCAGGAGGUUAGUGCAAUGGCAUAAGCUAGCUUGACUGCGAGCGUGACGGCGCGAGCAGGUGCGAAAGCAGGUCAUAGUGAUCCGGUGGUUCUGAAUGGAAGGGCCAUCGCUCAACGGAUAAAAGGUACUCCGGGGAUAACAGGCUGAUACCGCCCAAGAGUUCAUAUCGACGGCGGUGUUUGGCACCUCGAUGUCGGCUCAUCACAUCCUGGGGCUGAAGUAGGUCCCAAGGGUAUGGCUGUUCGCCAUUUAAAGUGGUACGCGAGCUGGGUUUAGAACGUCGUGAGACAGUUCGGUCCCUAUCUGCCGUGGGCGCUGGAGAAUUGAGGGGGGCUGCUCCUAGUACGAGAGGACCGGAGUGGACGCAUCACUGGUGUUCGGGUUGUCAUGCCAAUGGCAUUGCCCGGUAGCUAAAUGCGGAAGAGAUAAGUGCUGAAAGCAUCUAAGCACGAAACUUGCCCCGAGAUGAGUUCUCCCUGAGACUUUAAGUCUCCUGAAGGAACGUUAAAGACGAUGACGUUGAUAGGUCGGGUGUGUAAGCGUAGCGAUACGUUGAGCUAACCGAUACUAAUGAACCGUGAGGCUUAACCUU